rnacentral:rRNA from 1 species
GAUCCUGGCUCAGGAUGAACGCUAGCGACAGGCUUAACACAUGCAAGUCGAGGGGCAUCAUGAGGUAGCAAUACCUUGAUGGCGACCGGCGCACGGGUGAGUAACGCGUAUGCAACCUGCCCGAUACCGGGGUAUAGCCCAUGGAAACGUGGAUUAACACCCCAUAGUACUUUUAUCCUGCCUGGGAUGGGAGUUAAAUGUUCAAGGUAUCGGAUGGGCAUGCGUCCUAUUAGUUAGUUGGCGGGG